UACAAUGUAUUUUGGAGAGGUAAGAAACCCAAUUACUGUUUAUGUAUAUAUUAUUGCUGCUUUUUAGGUAUUGCUAGAAUUACCCAUUCAGAUUUUUCAGUCAGGGAAGGAACGAUUUACGCUGCUGCAAUUCCUAAUCUCAAGUUCUUCUCAAUCUUAUCCAGGGAUCCAGUUAAUUUUAAGAUUCUUUAUUGGGCUUAUGAGAAAUACUGCCAAUUUAGUUAAUUAAACAAGUUGUCGGUA